GAUCCUGGCUCAGAACGAACGCUGGCGGCGUGCUUAACACAUGCAAGUCGAACGCGAAAGCUCCCCGCAAGGGGGGCCGGUAGAGUGGCGCACGGGUGAGUAACACGUGGGUAAUCUGCCCUCAGGUCUGGAAUAACCGAGUGGAUACUUGGCUAAUACCGGAUAUGACCACAGUGGCUACGGCCACAGAGGUAAAAGGCUUGCUGCCUGAGGAUGAGCCCGCGGCCCAUUAGCUAGUUGGUAGGGUAACGGCCUACCAAGGCUCAGAUGGGUAGCUGGUCUGAGAGGAUGACCAGCCACACUGGAACUGAGACACGGUCCAGACUCCUACGGGAGGCAGCAGUGAGGAAUUUUGCGCAAUGGGGGAAACCCUAACGCAGCGACGCCGCGUGGGUGACGAAGGCCUUCGGGUCGUAAAGCCCUGUCGGGAGGGAAGAAUAAAUGACGGUACCUCCAAAGGAAGCACCGGCUAACUCCGUGCCAGCAGCCGCGGUAAUACGGAGGGUGCAAGCGUUGUUCGGAAUUACUGGGCGUAAAGAGCGUGUAGGUGGUCGUCUAAGUCUGAUGUGAAAGCCCUCGGCUCAACCGAGGAAUUGCGUUGGAUACUGGACGACUUGAGUACGGGAGAGGAGAGUGGAAUUCCCAGUGUAGAGGUGAAAUUCAUAGAUAUUGGGAGGAACGCCGGUGGCGAAGGCGGCUCUCUGGACCGAUACUGACACUGAGACGCGAAAGCGUGGGUAGCAAACAGGAUUAGAUACCCUGGUAGUCCUCGCCCUAAACGAUGGGCACUAGGUGUAGAGGGUAUUGACCCCCUCUGUGCCGGAGCUAACGCAUUAAGUGCCCCGCCUGGGGAUUACGGCCGCAAGGUUAAAACUCAAAGGAAUUGACGGGGGCCCGCACAAGCGGUGGAGCAUGUGGUUUAAUUCGACGCAACGCGAAGAACCUUACCUGGGUUUGACAUCAGCAGGCCAACUGUAGAAAUAUGGUCUUUUUACCUUCGGGUAAAAUCUGCUGACAGGUGCUGCAUGGCUGUCGUCAGCUCGUGUCGUGAGAUGUUAGGUUAAGUCCUGCAACGAGCGCAACCCUUACCUUUAGUUGCCAUCAUUCAGUUGGGCACUCUAAAGGAACUGCCCCGGAUAACGGGGAGGAAGGUGGGGAUGACGUCAAGUCCUCAUGGUCCUUAUGUCCAGGGCUACACACGUGCUACAAUGGCCGGUACAAAGAGAUGCGAUACUGUGAAGUGGAGCAAAUCCCAAAAAGCCGGUCCUAGUUCGGAUUGGAGUCUGCAACCCGACUCCAUGAAGCUGGAAUCGCUAGUAAUCGUGGAUCAGCACGCCACGGUGAAUACGUUCCCGGGCUUUGUACACACCGCCCGUCACACCACGAAAGUUGAUUGUACCAGACAUCGCUGUUCCAACCCGCAAGGGAGGUAGGCGCCUAAGGUAUGAUCAGUGAUUGGGGUGAAGUCGUAACAAGGUA
rnacentral:rRNA from 1 species